rnacentral:rRNA from 1 species
GAACGCGAAGAACCUUACCAAGUCUUGACAUCCCACUGACCGGACAGUAAUGUGUCCUUCUCUUCGGAGCAGUGGAGACAGGUGGUGCAUGGUUGUCGUCAGCUCGUGUCGUGAGAUGUUGGGUUAAGUCCCGCAACGAGCGCAACCCUUAUCCUUAGUAGCCAGCAGUAAGAUGGGAACUCCAGGGAGACUGCCAGGGAUAACCUGGAGGAAGGUGGGGAUGACGUCAAAUCAUCAUGCCCCUUAUGACUUGGGCUACACACGUGCUACAAUGGCGUAAACAAAGUGAAGCGAAGUCGUGAGGCCAAGCAAAUCACAAAAAUAACGUCUCAGUUCGGAUUGUAGUCUGCAACUCGACUACAUGAAGCUGGAAUCGCUAGUAAUCGCAGAUCAGAAUGCUGCGGUGAAUACGUUCCCGGGUCUUGUACACACCGA